rnacentral:rRNA from 1 species
GAUGAACGCUGGCGGCGUGCCUAAUACAUGCAAGUCGAGCGAACGGACGAGAACCUUGCUUCUCUGAUGUUAGCGGCGGACGUGUUAGUAACACGUGUAUACCCUACCUAUAAGACUGGGAUAACUUCGUGAAACCGUACCUAAUACCGUAUAUUAUUUUGAACCGCAUGGUUCAAAAGUGAAAUUCGGUCUUGCUGUCACUUAUAGAUGGAUCCGCGCUGCAUUAGCUAGUUGGUAAGGUAACGGCUUACCAAGGCAACGAUGCAUAGCCGACCUGAGAGGGUGAUCGGCCACACUGGAACUGAGACACGGUCCAGACUCCUACGGGAGGCAGCAGUAGGGAAUCUUCCGCAAUGGGCGAAAGCCUGACGGAGCAACGCCGCGUGAGUGAUGAAGGUCUUCGGAUCGUAAAACUCUGUUAUUAGGGAAGAACAUAUGUGUAAGUAACUGUGGACAUAUUGACGGUACCUAAUCAGAAAGCAACGGCUAACUACGUG